GAUGAACGCUGGCGGCGUGCCUAAUACAUGCAAGUCGAGCGAACAGAUGAGGAGCUUGCUCCUCUGACGUUAGCGGCGGACGGGUGAGUAACACGUGGAUAACCUACCUAUAAGACUUGGAUAACUUCGGGAAACCGGAGCUAAUACCGGAUAAUAUAUUGAACCGCAUGGUUCAAUAGUGAAAGACGGUUUUGCUGUCACUUAUAGAUGGAUCCGCGCCGCAUUAGCUAGUUGGUAAGGUAACGGCUUACCAAGGCGACGAUGCGUAGCCGACCUGAGAGGGUGAUCGGCCACACUGGAACUGAGACACGGUCCAGACUCCUACGGGAGGCAGCAGUAGGGAAUCUUCCGCAAUGGGCGAAAGCCUGACGGAGCAACGCCGCGUGAGUGAUGAAGGUCUUCGGAUCGUAAAACUCUGUUAUUAGGGAAGAACAAAUGUGUAAGUAACUAUGCACGUCUUGUCGGUACCUAAUCAGAAAGCCACGGCUAACUACGUG
rnacentral:rRNA from 1 species